GUUUUUUUUCAAAACAUGUCCUGGUGUAUUACUAUGCUAGGUUUAACCUGCUCAAUGAUUUAUUAUUAAAUAGCCGCAGUAUUUUGACUGUGCGAAGGUAGCAUAAUCAUUUGUCUCUUAAUUGGAGGCUUGAAUGAAUGGUUGGAUGAAAAAACUGCUUUCUUUAUAUUAUAAAAUUGAAUUUAAUUUUUAGGUUAAAAAGCUUAAAUGUUAAAGUGGGACGAGAAGACCCUAUAGAAUUUUAUUUUUACAUGGAUUUUUACAUUUUGGAUUAAUAAUGUAUUAAAUUUAUUUGGAGAUUUGGUUGGGGUGACUUUGAGAUUAAAAUAACUCUCAUAUAAAAUAUUUUUAAUUAUUUUUAUUUUUAAAAUCCUUUAUUAUGGAAAUUAGAUUAAAUUACCUUAGGGAUAACAGCGUAAUUUUUUUGGAGAGUUCUUAUCGAUAAAAAAGUUUGCGACCUCGAUGUUGGAUUAAAAUAAGAUUUAAGUGCAGAAGCUUAAUUUCUAGGUCUGUUCGACCUUUAAAUUUUUACAUGUCGGUUUUUUAACCG
rnacentral:rRNA from 1 species